rnacentral:rRNA from 1 species
AUGAACGCUGGCGGCGUGCCUAAUACAUGCAAGUCGAGCGAACGGACGAGAAGCUUGCUUCUCUGAUGUUAGCGGCUGACGGGUGAGUAACACGUGGAUAACCUACCUAUAAGACUGGGAUGACUUCGGGAAACCGGAGCUAAUACCGGAUAAUAUUUUGAACCGCAUGGUUCAAAAGUGAAAGACGGUCUUGCUGUCACUUAUAGAUGGAUCCGCGCUGCAUCAGCUAGUUGGUAAGGUAACGGCUUACCAAGGCAACGAUGCAUAGCCGACCUGAGAGGGUGAUCGGCCACACUGGAACUGAGACACGGUCCAGACUCCUACGGGAGGCAGCAGUAGGGAAUCUUCCGCAAUGGGCGAAAGCCUGACGGAGCAACGCCGCGUGAGUGAUGAAGGUCUUCGGAUCGUAAAACUCUGUUAUUAGGGAAGAACAUAUGUGUAAGUAACUGUGCACAUCUUGACGGUACCUAAUCAGAAAGCCACGGCUAACUACGUG